UUCCCGCGCCGAUUUCCCGCCCUGCCGUUGUGCGCGCGCGAACCUACCCAUCCAUCCAGCCCUUCCCAUUCACCAUUCAGUCAUUCUAUUCUCCCGUUCCAAAAUUCCCCAUCUCAAACCCUUGCAGCUCGCACCCUACCUACUGGGCGCCGGCGGCGCCCUGCAGCUGUUGCCGGCAGGCACCUCUGCUCCGUGCUGGCGUGCUCCCAAGUUGUCUCCCGGUGGCCGCAACGGUGGGCCGCGGCUCCACUCCCACAGCAACUCUCCCCCUCUUGCUGCGACGGUCAAGAGCAUAGUGCCAAUUUGAUUCGAGGGUCGAGGCCAAGCCUGGUUGAAGGCCUAUCGUGCAUUUGUGGCCUCUCCUCCUGCUGCCCCUUCAGAUCUGCUGCUGAACCAGCAAAGGUUGGAGCAAAAGGUGUAGUGAAGCUGAUAAAUAACCAUGGUUUCAAGAAGGGCAAGGUCAUCGAGAAAUAAGCAACAAGUGCGCCAUCUGAAAAUGGAAGAGAACCAAAUGCUACUGAGACAGAGCCUAAUAUAGAGGCUACUGGUGCAGCUGGUGAUGGAAUUGAGGAGGUGCCUUCAAUAGGAAGAAGGUCGGUCACCAAAAUGAAGCGUCCAAAGAAGAAACUUCACCUGUUUGGAAAUAUUUCACUGAACUGCUUAUUGAAGAAAAGGUGGAUGACAUGGUUGUCCUGAAGAGGAUGGCAAAAUGCAACUUUUGUGAAGAGGUUCUUAGUGCCGAAAGUAAGCAAGGUAUCACGCGUCUAUGGAAUCAUUACCAUUCAUUUCAUGAUGAAAAUAAAGAGAAACCUAACAUUACAAAAUUGAAAGGAGCUGAUUGGAAGUAUGAUGAGGAAACUAGUUUAAGAAAAUACUAUCUGGCAAUUAUUAUGCAUGAAUAUCCAUUCAGCUUCUCUGAGCAUGAGUAUACAAAUGAUUUCAUUAGAUCUUUGUGCCCAAUAUUUCCAAUAAAGUGCCGCAAGACUCAAGGGGCAGGAUAAUGGCUAUUUUUUAUGAUGAGAAAAAGAAACUUUUUGACUAUCUUGCCUCUUAUAAGUGUCGCUUCAGCUGCACCAUGGAUGGGUGGACUUCUAAUCAAAAUAAGGGGUAUUUGUGUGUGACUUGUCAUUUCAUUGAUGAUGAUUGAAAAUUAUAGAAAAGAAUUAUAAAUUUCAUGCAUCUUCGAGGAAGUCAUAGAGGAGCUGAUUUGAGUGUUGCAUACAUGCAA